AUCAUCUUUGAACUCCUCCCCAAACUAGCUGAACUUUAGCUGACUUCUCUUAAAUCCUUAUUAAAAACAAAAACAAAAUACAACUGCCCUCUAAAUCUGUGUCUUUGUACCCUUAGAUUAGUACAGCUCCUAGACAGCAUCAGAGAAUUUUUGUUUUGUUUUGUGGAUGGUGGUUGACACAGAAACUGACAACAGAUCAAACUACCAAAAAUAAGUGACUGUGGCAUACUCAGUUACUAAUGGGACAUUUACAUCAUAGAUCCCCAAGGCUCAGUACCAUCAGGAAAGAGGGGACAGAAGGAGUGUAAAUGCCAGAGGUUGGAGUAUCUUUUGGACAUGAUAGGACCUCUGCAUCUAUUGACUCACAGAAGGGCCUUCUUGGCUCCCAGCAUCUUCCACUGUGCUGAGAGAUGUUGGGCAACUCUGAGAAAGUCUGUAAGGAGGAGAAUCUACCUUAUCAAAGAGGAAGAACCCAGCUCAACAGAAUCUCCCUAGGAGAGAGAUUCCUGAUUCAGGAGCGAGUGGUGAAGUUUUCUGCUUUCUCUUCUCUCCCUUUUGAUUCCUUUCUCUUUUCCCCAGCCUUAUCCCUUUAUCCACUACUCCCCACUCCAGCUACCCUCCCCCACCUAAUAGCUAUUGCCUUAAUGUCUUGCUCAAAUCUUUCAACCUCUUACAAGUAAUUGCCUUGUUUCCUGCAUGAGUGAUUGCAGUGGCCUCUAAUUCCCUGUGUUCAUCUCUAGAUGAAGCAUUGAGUGAUUUAUGGCAAAAUGAAAGAAGCUCUUUACAACAUGACCUUAGCCAACCUUGCUUACUUCAACUUCUACCACUGCCCACAUUCAUCCUCCACAAGAGCCAUGUCUGAUUGUCUCCAAACUCCAAACAUUUGAUGAUGUGGUGGUUUCUAUGCUUGUGUUGGGGGUUGCGGGGAGGUACAACCUAGAAUAUUUUCUCCUAUUGUAACUACAAGUUCUUGCUCAUCUUUCUUCAGGUCUUCCUACCACCUGACUGCCACCCAGGCAGGAUAGUCCCCUCUUCAUCUGUUCUAGAACACUGAGAAUUCUGACUUCUGGGAAUUUGAAGGAAAGGUUCUUCUGCACAUGGGUGCUCUGGUGGAGAGGCAUGGGUAUUCGACUAUACUCUAGGGAUACAAUGACAGACACAGUAGACAAAUUCCCUGUCCUAAUAGAUUUCAGAGUAUAGGAAGAUGCUAUUCAGGCUGCUGGAAGAGCACAAAUCAACAACCACCUUACCGAGCUGUGAACUCUGUGGACUACAGUACCAACCUGAGAGGCAAGACGUGCCCACUGGAGCAAUACUGGCAUGACUGUUAAUGUGGGUAACUAACUAUUUUUAUUUCUAUUUGAGGCUUGCUCCACAGGAAGAGAUUCGUGCCUGGCACUGUAAACCUGGUCAAAAGGACAUCAUUCAAAAGAUAAUGGGAGGGGAAAAUCUACUAGCAUUGUUUUGCUAAAUAGACACAGGGCCAAAGUGCCUUCUAAAUAAUCUAUGUUUAUACCCAAGAUUAGUGCUGUUCUCAGUCUUUACCAGGGAAGUUUGUGUAGUGGAUGAUGGGUAAUGUAGAGCCUCAAAACUGGUCAAAGAAGUGAGAAUAAGUGACCAUUGAAUGCUCUGCCCUGCAUGAGACAACUGUAUCUAUCACCUUCUUGGAACCUCAAAAGGAAUUUUGUGGAGAAGAGGCAGAAAGAAUGUGAGAGCUGGAGUAUGCAGAGGGGUUCUGUCAACACAGUCUCCUGGACAUAAUAUGAUUAUUGCACUCAUGAACUCACAGUAGCUGUGGUUACCUGCACAUCUGUCUAUGGCUGCUGGGGAAUGAAUGAGACCGGCUCCACAAAUAAAUAAAUUUUUGGGAGACUGGAGGCAUUUUUCCCCCACUGGAACAUACCAAAACAUUUUUAAGCUUCUGUAUUUUA